rnacentral:rRNA from 1 species
CACGUAUUUAGCCGGAGCUUCUUAGUCAGGUACCGUCAUUUUCUUCCCUGCUGAUAGGGCUUUACGUACCGAGGUACUUCUUCACCCACGCGGCGUCGCUGCAUCAGGCUUGCGCCCAUUGUGCAAUAUCCCCCACUGCUGCCUCCCGUAGGAGUUUGGGCCGUGUCUCAGUCCCAAUGUGGCCGUCCACCCUCUCAGGCCGGCUACCGAUCGCAGGCUUGGUAGGCCUCUACCCUGCCAACUACCUAAUCGGACGCGGGUCCAUCCCACACCGCCUCAGCUUUUCACACCAGGCCAUGCAGCCCUUGUGCGCUUAUGCGGUAUUAGCAGCCGUUUCCAGCUGUUGUCCCCCUGUGUGGGCAGGUUACCCACGCGUUACUCACCCGUCCGCCACUCAGUCAUAAGUUGCUUCCAUCCGAAAACUUCCGCUCCUUAUCGCUUCGUUCGUACUUGCAUGUGUUAGGCACGCCGCCAGCGUUCACUCCGUGACGCAGGUAUACUAAA